CUCAAACACUUGUUCAUACUCUACCAUUUCCUUUUUGUCUCAAAAUGCUACAAUCUGAAAUUCUAAUCUGCUUCUCAAUGUUCCACUGCAAAGGGGUGACAACUUGCUUUCAGCAUUUGACAGCAGGUUUCCAUGUAAUAUUUCAAAGCUCAGCAAGAGGUUUCUUAUAUUCUGUGGUGAACAGGAUAAAUUUUGUCAUUCAGAAGAUAAAUCUGAGCUAUCUGUAUGUACAGAAACACUAAAACGAGAACAUAUGUUGGAGACAGGAUUAGAACUUCAAAGAAGAGCCUGCCAGAGGAAAAUGCAGGAAAUGUUUGCAUUCCUGUAUGAUUCCAUCAUACAGGGGCCUGUAAUGGUGAAAGCACCCUUCAGCAGAUGUUGUUUGAAAGGAUGUAUUUGUGCUUCUCCAAUCAAGGCCUCCUCACACUUUGAAAAAGAUCAUUAAGAAAGACUAAGUCUCCUUAGAUGAAUCUCAUCUAUAUGAAGUAACUGACUAAAUUAUACAAUUGUCCUUUGUGUUCUGCUAGGAAUUGAACCCAAGUAUCUUGAGAAUAAGAGACUCUCUUUGUCUAUUAGCUAUACAAAUAAAGGGUAUUGAUUAUUUUUU